UUUCUUAGUUUUGCCUUUUAUCUUUACUAUUGCCUUCUUAACACGGAUGGUUAUGCAUCCAUGUUAUACAUGGUACUGGGAGAUCCUGUUUGAAUUGUGCUUGGAAUAGAUGUCUUUGUCAUUACUUUUCCAUUGCAGUAGUUGUGACUUUUAUUUAGAGUAUGCAUAGAGUGGUGUAGUUGCAUUUACAAGAGUGGUUAACAGUUAUUGCUAAAAUGCCUUAUGGGUGUCUGAGUUUUGCAGCGGAACCAAAAGUUUUUAUGCUGUAAUUUGCUUCAGUACAAUAUUGAGUUUUUGGUUGAGCUUACCAUGUCUGGUGUAUCAAAUUCCAAAAAGUCCUUGCUCUCAAAUUACAUUUGUGCAGUGCAAGAAAUUCUGUUACUUGCCAAAAGUGUGUAUAUUUGGCCAUACUCUUAACAGUGAUUAUUUUUUUUUGGCCAUCUCACCUUUUGUUCAAUUUGUUGUAUGGGUUCCAGAUUUUUACUUUUUCCUCCAUUUAUUUGUCUCGAACAUUCUGUGCAGAAGGCAUUCAAUGGAAAAUCAUAUUGUUUCUUAAUGUUUAUGUGCCAUCAUCCUGUACAAGAAGGAAAGAUUUUUAUGUAUGCAGGGAUUAUACUUGGUUCAGAACCCAUGAUUGCAAUGUUUUUUUCUUUUUUCUUUUUGGGUUUUUUUGAGUAUCCAAAACUGAUCUGGUGUCUUUAAUAGGUAUUUUGUGUUAAGCUGAUUGCUAAUAGUGAUAGGAGGGAAGCUGCUUAUAUUAUUCUCAAUAGCUUUAAGGCUACUUAAGUUUGUUCUAUGUUUAGCCUUUUUCUACUUAAUUAGGUAUGUUUAGUCUUUUGAUGUACUGUUGUUUACUUAAUGUUUCUUUUACCAUGAGAUCCUUGUAAUUUUGUAGUCUCUGAAUUUUUUAGUAAGAAAUUUUCAUUUAUUGUAGAUUAUUUAAUAUUUGAUUUGAAAUUCAUUUGUUAGCUUGCUUAUAUGCAGUUUCAAUGUAUUGAUGUAUUUACCUUUUGGUACAUAGUUUGCUUUCUUAUUGUAAUUAUUGGCCCUAUGGAAAAGAAUGAUUUAUUUACAGUGGCUCAUGUGCAAUUUCUUUACUAUCAAUGCAAAAAAAAAUCACCACUUAAUAACUACCACUGCGACAUUCAUUGAAGAUAAUGCACACAUGGUGGUAAACAGACUGAUUUUGUAUUCUUCGGGGUUUUUCCCCCUGAAUAAGAGAAAUUUUUCCCUUCCCUAGAUUCUUAAAUGUAUAUGCUGAUAGGAUUUAGAUUAUCUCCUAAUUGCGUUCUUUUGUUUAUUUGAUAGAUUGUAUUCCUCAACAAUUGAAGGUUACGAAGCUAGAAUAGAAACUCCCAGGGGGUUGAUACAUGUACAUUUGCUUGUGAAAGUUAAAAAUAACAUAUUGAAUAGUUGUGCCUUAUAAUUUUCUUUGCCUUUCUACUCUUGAAUGAUGAGUUGUACUGGGGCAAUUUCUUUUCUAGCCCGUUCUUCCUUUUUUUUCCCGGCUCUCUUAGCUCUUCAAAGAGCCUAUUACUUUGGUUAUUAUCAUAGUAUGGUUAGGUUACACAAUUUGUUUCACCAAUUUAAUGGGUAGAUUUUACAAACUUACUUUUCUUCUUUGCAUUUUAAUCUUGAUAACACCUCAUUAAUGUUUCAAAAACUAGAAAAUCAAUUUUUUAGCAAAUGUUUUUACAUUUUGAGCAUUAUCAUUUAAUUACAUGGCUUUGUUCUAGAAGUGUUUGUGUGAGCAAGUUGGGUAAAGCAGAGCUGACGAUUGAACGAUGUGGUUCAUUGCCUAUAAUAGCAGUCUAUUCUGCCCAUAGUAAUUGUAAGACAAAACAGCCAAGUUUGAUCUAAUAAUUGUCAGUUUAUACUUUUAUGGGUUUUUUUAAUAUUAUUGACAAUAUCUUACUUGAGCUUUUAUUUCGUAUGUGAAUUUACCAAAUCAGAUCUUUAAAACCCUUUUUUCUAUGGUUAGUCAUUAUUGGUGAAGUCAUUUUUUCAGUGUAUGUAAUAUAUGGUUCUUGGUAUCUCAACGUUAUAGUAUACAAAUGUGAAAACAUUUUGAAAAAAUGGAAGGAAUAUCUACUGAAAGGAGAAAAAAUUUUAACUUUUCAGGUUGUGAAUUUUUUUUGAUUUAUUUCCAUGUCAUUUUUCCAAUUUUACACUAGAUUGGACCUUCAAGUUUCUGCUUCCUUUUCAUUUCUGAAGUUUUUAAUUUCUUGCUUGCUUCUUUAGUUUUGCUGCUCCUCAUAAUCUUAGAUUGCUGCCUAUUUGAUAGAUUGAGGAAAAUCACAAGGAAAUACUAAAGGGAGGAGAAAAAGAGUAGCUUUUCAGCAUGGGACUACUCCAAAUGAUAGUUGUGAGAUUGACUUGCAUGAUGUGAAGGAUUUUACCAGUCAUCUAUGCCCCUUACUAUUGCACGAUAUGAGAGUUAAAGCAAAGGAGCUGGGGCUGUUAGCUGAGUCAUAUUUGGAGGGAAUGCAAUCAAUAUACAAAUUGAUUGGCCAAGUGCAGCAUUUAUGGUCCAUUGGGUUUACAAGUUCUUGAUGGCAUCCCUGCAGAGAUGCGAGAUUUGUUGGAAGCGUAUGUGUUAGCAGUUGCUUAUUCUCAUUUUGUUUCUAUUUAAGAGAUUAUGACCUCUUCCAAUGUACCCAAAAAAGAAAAAGAAAAAGAAAAAAUGAGGUUUCUUUAUGAUGUAUAUCCUUGAUAUUUUUUGGAGGAUUUUAUUGUUCUUUUGAUUGGCUUUAUCCCAUAAUGCUGUAAAACCUCUCUAGCAUUAAAGUUGUGCAGAAAUUGUGAGGUCGCUUUCCUAAAAAA